rnacentral:lncRNA from 1 species
UUUUUUUUUUUUUUUUUUUUUUGCGCAGUAGGGUAUCUGGGCUCAUGGACCGGUAAUACCGUACGGCCCAACUAAUCCCUACUGCGGGCUGGGAGCGGCUCGCCCCAAGCGUCACCAGCCUCGGUGAUGCCGGGAUUCGACCCCUGGACGUGGCUCUCCCCCAACUGGGACUACAACCACGGAGCCCAACAUUUAAAAUUUUAUAUGGGCAUUAUUGUGUGUACCAUGUUCCCUCGUUCCGCCCAUACUUUAACCCAAGUAUUCCCAUUUGAAAAAAAGAAGGGCAAAAUACAUUUUAUUCCCCUAUAUUUUAAUGAUUUUAUACAUAACCCCCUAUAAUUUCGAAAGUCAUAUAUGAUCCUAUUAUAGUUUGGAUUAAAAUGUUAAAGCGAUAAAAAUGAUCAUUUGUAAUGAAACCUAUGAAAGUGUUGAAAUUACCCUUUCUUAAAAACUAAAAUAGCUGAAAUAACCAAAAUAUAUAUAUAUAAUGUACAUGAUAUGUUUUACUAUAAAACCCCCUUAUGGCUUAGUAUUUUACCACAUAACUCCUUUAUAGUUUUCAAAAUAUAUAUAAUGCCCCGUAGUUAAUAAAUAAUUUUCAACUUUACAUAAGGGUACUUUUAAUAUUUUAGUUGACUCUGUUAUGGAAUACAAAUUUCUUCAUUUUGACACUUUUAAUCUAAAUCAUAAAGGGGUUAUGUAUAGUUUUUAAAAUUAUAUGGGAGAUUAUAUGAAAAAAGCGCUAAAUCAUAGAAAGGUAAAAUGUAUUUUGCCCAAAAAAGUGAGAACAAGUAUUCGUUCUUGGAAGAAAAUUUUGAAAUGUCCCUACCAUUACUAGUAUUACAUCAAGGGGAUUAGCGGCAGCUAUAUGGUUGUGACUACAUCUUAAUGUCUCUAAGUGAAUACAUUCUACAUUAACAUUAGUUUCUGGACAAAUUAAUAAUGUUCUUGGGCCAUUCUUUCAUCUUUUAUCUCCAAUUGAUGUCAAGUUGGAUGCUUAAUACUUGAGGAAUCAUGGAUGCCAAUAUUAAAAAUGCUUCGAUACCUCCUGAUCCUGCAACAAUUUAACAAUGUAGCAUACAAGAAGAUUGGAAGAAGUAGAUCAGACUUAUGGCAUUGAAAUUGAAACCUUCAAACACUUUCUGAUAUACUCUGAAGUGAAUCAAAAGGUGCACUGGGACUUACAAUAGUAGCCUUUCUAAGUAGCCAUUCUCAACCUUACAACAGUAUUCCCUCAUCAUCCAGAAAAAGGAAGCUGAACUGGAUAGGGAGAGUUUAUUGCAGGAAACCACUCUAUAGAUUGAUAAAAAGUGACAAAAUUUCUGUGUUAAGCAGAAUUCAUUCACAAGCAACUACGAUAACCUGUUUUCCAACGUUGCGACCUCUAAAGAGACCUGCAAGGGCUGCAGGGACACUUUCAAGUCCUUCAGCGAUAUCUUCCACAUAUGUUAUCUUUUUCUCGCGGAUAUGAGGCAACAUAAGAUCCAAAAAUUUUGUGUAGAGGGGAUAGUAUUCAGCGGCAGAACAUCCUCGCAUGUUUACUCGCUUGUGAAUGAGCCACAUCAAGUUCUUUACUCCUUCAGGUUCAUCAAGAUUGUAUUGUGAGAUCAUUCCACAAACAGCAAUUCGACCAAACAUGUUCAUAUUUUGAAGGACAGCAUCUAGCAUCUUUCCACCGACAUUUUCAAAGUAGAUAUCGAUUCCAUCAGGGAAGUACCUGGUUUGAAACAAAAUUGAUGAUCAAUAACUGACACGGUAUUCAGUUUACUCUAAUGAAUGAAGCUAAUACUGGCUAAGAAAUGUUGAAUUCAGUUUACUCUAAUGAAUGAAGCUAAUACUGGCUAAGAAAUGUUGAAUUCAUCUUUCCUUUGCAAGCAGAAACUAUUUAGAUCAGAUCCUUGAGGCUGAAUUUUACAAAUUUUUUGGUAUAGAAACAGAAAAUUUGAGUGACAUAAGAAUUAGUAAUUAAGGAAAGAGGAAAUGUAUAGCAAAUCAAGUUCAAACAUUUAUCUGAAAAUCAGCUAGUCCCUGCUUUUCUUAUUCUUUUCUGCUUUUGUUGAUAGCAGAUCUUCAAAAGCUUGCUAACAAUAUUGGCUUGAGAAUACUUGUAUAGAAAGCCUAAUUAAAGAGUCACAGAUUAAGUUAAAAAAUUUUGAGUCAUGUAACUAUAGUCUAGUGAAUCAUCUUUCUGUAGUUCUGAGGAAAACUUAGACAUCAAGUGAUUAUUCCAAGGAAAAGAUAGAAUGGAAAAAAGUAGAUUACAGACCUUUUUAAAGCAGCAUCCAAGUCAUGUUCUUCCUUGUAAUUGAAAGCAUCAUCAAAACCAAACUUUUUCUUCAAAAGAUCAACCUUGUCAAAUAAUUAAUAGAAGCACAUGAAAGUUAGAAAUGGACCGUGGCUAAAAUCAAGUGAGGUUGAAGUUUUCACAAAUUUGUUUUGCUGGGUGAAAAGUGAAAGAGGGGGAGUAUGGAGUAGGAAAACAAGAUUAAGUUCAAACAUUUAGCAGGUAACACAGCAAAGGGACUGCAAAUGGUGGCAGACCCCGGUAGCAUACCCAAAUCAAAUAAUCGGAAUGGUUACAAAAGCCAAAUCACACUGGCUAGAUUUUCCAAAUUCUCAUAAUCAAACUUUUAGUUGAACUUGAUUUCAGAAGAUCCAGGCUUUGAUCACAAAGUUAAAGGAGAAACUACCAAACUGAGACUACUGACGGCCUGUAGUUAAGAGUAGAAGUAGCAGGCUGCAAAUUCAACUCGGUAUGAGGUUAUAGAAGUUGAUAAUUGUGCCAAACAUUUAACAGAAAUUCUUAAAAACAGUUGAUAUUUCAUAGUAGCUGCAUCCAUGCUAAUCAUUCAGACAUAAUGUUUGCCUGAGAUCUGAGGCUAAAGCUCAUCAAUAUUUCCUGUACAACUUGGAAGGAGCAAAGCAUAGGGGGUGGUCAAUUACCUUUUCUUUACUUCCAGCACUUCCAACUACAUAGCAGCCUGUCAGCUUUGCAAAUUGUCCAACGAGCUGGCCAACUGCACCAGAUGCUGCUGAGACAAAUACUUUCUCUCCUUUCUUGGGAUUACAGACCUCAUAAAAUCCACCAUAGGCAGUAAUACCAGCCAAACCUAAACAAAGUGAAAUGUUGCAGAAAGUAACAGCGGCAAUUAUGUCGAUGAAGUUUAUCUCUCAAUAACAUAGAUGAAUAGGAUGGGGACUGAAACAACUUUAAGACUAGACUAAAUUUCUGAUAUAAAGCAAAAAUUGUGCAGCCAAUAGACUGAAAAUCAUAUCAUGAUUUUUGAGUGUCAUGUAAAGCAGUGUAAGGCUGAUCAUUAGAUUCAUUGGCAUGCAUAGGUGAAAAUUAUCAAACAACUCACAAAUUCAGAUGCAUGAAAUUCCUAGAAAUACUAGAUUGUGGAUUUCUUGCUAUCAGAGUAUACUAUAGUUUAAAAAAUCAGAGCAUUAAAUUUUUAAGCUGCAAAUUCACUUGUUAACAAAUAUAGUAGUUAUCAAUCAAGCAUCGAACUUACCAAGAAUUCCAGUAUAGUAGCUAAGAGGGACAUCUGUGUGUUCGAUCUUGAAAAGCAAAUCAGUUUCUGCAAUGAGACUGUAUUCCUCCCAUCCAGCCAGUCCCCAUACCAAGUCAUCCUUCUUGAACUUUGGAUGGCUUGAAUCCACUACUUUAGCUACCACAAACCCGUAAAUAGGCUGCAGUUACCCCAUUACAAAUAGUCAAGUGUCAAAAUUUCAAAUCUUGAACUCUACAACUACCAACAAUCACCAUAAAUGACAACUUGCACCUGUCAAUACUUUCGUUUAAUUUUUUGGUUACAUAUCUUCCUCUCUAGUAGCAGAGUAAGUUGUUUUUUCAACUAAAUUUUUGGCAUAUAAAAGGAUCUCAUUCUUCAACAAGAUUGUAAGCGAUUUACCGGGGUUCUAGCUUCUGAGUCCAAAAUCAAGAAUCUUUCUCAAUCUCUGUAAAGAAAGCAAGCAGAGAAAAGGGUAUCCAUAAGCUAAAAUCUUUUAAGUUUGAACAUGUUCCGGUUGAUUACUAGCUGGAUCAUGUAACUGACUAACAUCUCAAGUAGACAAAUAUGCCAGCACCUUGCUUUGGACUAACAACAUAUAAAAUCCAAUUCAGAGAAUUAAAACAAGAGAUUAAAGCACAAACAAGAAAAAAAAGGAAUGUUUCUACAAGAAAUCUGAGAAUGUGAUCACAUACAGAGGCAGGCUUGUAAGCGGGAAACGGGGUUCUACUAUUGGGCGCCGGCUUUCGCAUUAGACCUCUCAUGAAAGGAUCACAUGACAAGUAGAGGUUCUUAACCAAUACCCCACUUGAGUUUUCUGGCACUUUCAAGCUGAUGGUAUUUUCUGUGCUGAUGAUCAUAUCUGAUUCUUUCGGGAAUCCAGUAACAUAGUCUUUCAACAGCACUUGCUUGUUCUUCACUACAUCAACCUCUGCUGCCAUUGCUGAAAUAUCAAUCUAUUUGCGGCAGAAUGUGUGUUCUGCGUGCUUGUGGACGCUGUAUAUACUUUAGAGCAGUGAACUCUUUUCAGGUUUGUUUGCUGGGAUUUUGGAGCAAAACUCUUCUGUUUUUAUAGAGGGAAAUGUCUAAGCUUUUGAUGUAGGUAAUGACAUCAGUAGCUGGAAAUAGAAAGUUAAAAAUAUGGAAGAUAAAAGAAACAAAAUGACUUGGAGGAGAGCUGCGUCAUGGCUUAAGUUCACCAUUUUGGGGAAAGCUUCAUCAUAGCUUACGUCACCAAAUUCGUUUUCUAAAAUUCAUAUAUCACUAACCUCCCCCUUUUUAUUUUCCCCACCAUUUUUAAUUCACCUGCUUUCUGUUUCUACAGCACAAUAAUUCUUGUAUCGCCUUUUUUUUUUCUUUUUUGGGCAAGCAAAUUUCCAACAAAUAAAUCAAGGAUAACAAAAUUUUUACAGUUCCCUUUAUAUAUAAACAAAUACAAUAGAUUAUUUCUAGCAGUUAAAGUUGAAAUUUUAAAAAUUAGAACUUUGGGAGGGUUCAAUUCCUCUACCGUCCUGCGUCUUAAUUCUCAUUCCUCUCUUGCUGGGUAUAUGUUCAUUUAAAAGCUACCAAGGUAAAAUUAAGUAUACCUGCUUUGAUGUUUCAGACUACAACCUUAACUUUCAUGUUUCGAAUUACAAGGUUUCGGCCUUUUGGGAGCUGCUUGAAAGCCCCAAUCUGAUUUUAGCCUAUAUGUUGGAGCAAAAUUUUUCUUCCCUUUUUUUUGGUCAAAAGAAAAAGUAACCCUUUAUAGGAGAAUGAAUAAUUUUGAAACCAAGGGACAGUAGAAAUAAAAGACUGCUUCAAGGGGCUUGGAUGGAACCAAACUUGAUUUGGCCUUAAGAGUUAAGAGUCUAAUGCCCUUAAAGAUUGAAUAGUUUUCAAUUUUGGAGUAAAUAUGCCCCCAUCAACCUAGUGGCUUCCCAUAUUAAAGCACAUCCCAUUGUCUUGGAAAUUGAGGUUCCUUAUAAAACAUGUGUUGUCCAGUGGUUUAUGGAAAGAAUUACUCUGUAAGCAGAGUAAUGCUUUUCACUUCAACUUGUAGCAUCACCCACGGAAGGUAGCAUUGUUUGCAUUAAACACCACAAGCAAAAGUAAAUCAUGAAUCAAAAUAAACAGGAAAUAAAGCUCCCGGCUGCAAGUAUUUAGUUAAAUCUAGAACAUUAAAAGCAUCAAUUAUCCUGAGCUGUAAUCCACUGUAAAGUAUCACAAUAGGAUCAUGUCACAAAGAACUUUUCCCAAGCUAAUCUCCUAACAGAGUUCAUGAAUAUCUGCUAUCCCAAAAGCUCCAAGUCAUCUCCUUGAGCCUAGGCCACAAGGGUGCUGGCAGUAGUAGAUUCACUGCAAGUAAAGAGUUUUAUAAGCAUCUGCUCAAAAAGAUAAACUCAAAGCAAGUUGCAUUAACGUAAUGACCAAGCAUAGUUGUCAAAAGCAGGGCCAUUGCCAAAAGAUAUUCAUCACUAUUCAGACUGUUGUCAAGUAUAGCAUGCUCCACUAAAACCAAAAGCAUCACACACUUGUUUAAUUCUCCAAAAUAUGUUUUGAAAACAACUUCCUAACGUACAAAUGGAGUGUGGAUGCAAUGAAAAACCAAUGCAGAAUCGCAGGACAGCCACAUGUACUACCGGACAACACAGGUAAGCAAGGAACCUCAAACAACUCCAUAAAUCAAUUCUAUUCAAAACUACUGGACAACACCCGAGGAAGGAACCUCAAACAGCUCCACAAACCAAUUCUUUCCAAACCAACAAGAGCUCCAAUGCUGACUUUCUGACUAUCUUGUGGACAGUUCCAAUGGUACAACGUGAAGAUUGCCUUGACGGGCAAAAAAAAUGGGGAACCAUUCCAUACAAGCGGAAGAGAUUAUGAUUAAGAAUUUAAAGAUGAUUGAGGGUGGCAGCCAAUCUUUUAUCAGCACACAGUAAAGAGUGUGGAAAGCUCUCCAAAGUGUGCAUCAUGGAGGCUGGAGGAGGAAACUUCAUACAGAUCAGAUUUUUAUUUCGGCAUGUAUGAAUGACACUUUAUAUGAUUUUCAAAGGAAAAAUUGUUGCCCAGUAGUUUGCUAAGGAUGCAGGACAAAACCAACCCAUCAUAUACUGAAAACCUAUCUCCCAUUUCCUCCGCCAGAUCACCAAAGAGGUACUUGAAGAAGCACAGGAAAACCCCAACAGUUAAAACAGCCACAAGUCCUAACCAGCAAACUGGCAUCUCAGUACAUGGUAAUGAAAACAAACACAUUGCGACAGAGAACAUGUAAUUAUCAGCUAAACAAACACAUUAAACAGACGAUCAAAAAAAAAAAUCAACAGGGAGUAAAAGGGGGGUUGGGGGGGGGGGGGGAUGAGAGGGCAGGCAUACUAUUUCCAGUUGGGAGGGAGCUUCUUGGUCUUCUUGUAGUAACGAGCGAGGCGGUGAAUCCUGCUCUCCACCAGAAUCAAUCUGAACUUGGAAUCCUUGUCCUUCCUGUUCCUCUCCAAAUGCUUCCUGAUUGCGACUGCCGUCUUGAUCAGAUGGUACAGAUCCUCUGGAAUCUCGGGUGCAAGCCCUGCCCACCGAACCAAGAAAAAAAACAACAAUAUUGUUAUAAAAAAAAUCAAACAAAGAAAUGCUAAUGCAAUAAGGAAAAUGAUUUUUUUUGAAAUAUACCGUGAGCCUUGAGGAUACGCAAGAUCUUGCUGCCAGUGACACUCUUAACCUGCGCUAUACCAUGAGAGUCGCGAAGAAUCACACCAAUCUGAGACGGUGUCAUUCCCCUCUUUGCAAACUUGCAGAUGUUAUCUUCAACCUAUCAAUUUUCCAGAAAAAAAAAAAGUCCCCAAAAAAAAAGAACAGAACAAUAAGAACUUGUACACCUAGAAAAUUAGCAACACAACGAAAUUCUACUACUAACAUCCUGGGAGGAGAUCUUCAGCCAGCUUGGGGGCGUUCUCUUGUAAGGAAGAGCCGAUGCAGAAAUACCCUUACUGCAUUUUACAAUCACCGGAAAAUUUAAAAACCAAAAAAAAGAGGAAAAAGUCAGCCUCCUCUGCUUUACAAACGAAUUCAAACGAAAAAAAAAAAGAGCAUAAGUAAUUGCAUUUGUUUGUUUGUUUGUUUGAGAAGAGGGAGAUGAAGCAGACCCGCGACUGUGCAUACGACCCAUGGUGACGGAACGCGGCGGCGGCUGCGGCUGCGGCUGUGGUAGGGGAGUUGCUCAACCACGAACGGCGUUUACCUAAUACGAAUACGAAUGGCCACAAACCGAUGCUGGAUAUGUUGCUGGCUACCAGUACUCACUAGGGUUUAAAACAUACUAUAUAGAUUGGGGUGUCAAUUGGGCCUCGGUUCAAAAAAUAAAUAAAGGUUUUGGAUUUUUAGGUUCGAGUCUAGUUUAGAAAGUUUUUUUUUUUUUUUAAAGAAGUUUAGAAAGUUCAAGCUCGGUUCAUCAUUUAAUGUUAUAGUAUGUAUAAUUAUAUACUAUAUACAUCAUUUAAUAUGCAAAUAUAUAAUUUCUAUCGUUUAAGAAAAAAAAAUUUAAUAUGCAAUUAUAUAUAUGCUAGUGUUGAGGGCAUCGAGGGAACAAUUAAAAUGAAUUAAUUUUGUACAAGUAUUAUUUGUCACAUACAAAAAAAAAAGUUAUAUAUAACUUUCAUGAAAGAACUUUGGUGUACGUCAUUAUAGUAAUUUUUUGAUAGUUAAAAUGAUUAUGAGUAAUUGUAUUGACAAGAUGUGAUUAGGUGACUAAGGUAAAAAUCAAGUUCUAUAAGGGUGAAAUUGGAUGUUUAAAAGAUGACAAAAAGUGUUUACACCAAUUCUAAUUGCUUUGACAUUAUAUAUUGUGCAUAUUGCACCGAUAUUAUGCAUAUAACUUUACAUGUGAAUGGGCCGGGACUUAACUAGGUUUGAGCAUGGUAAGAUCCAAAUUCGCUCAUAUUUAAUUUGGAUCUAUUAUUUAGACUUAAACUCUACUUGAUUCUAUUAAACAUAAGGCUUAUUGAGCUUUUUUUUUUUGUUAUCAAACGGUCCGAACUAGUCUGACCCUAUUGACAACCCUACUUCUAAGUUUCAUCUUUUUAUUUGUCUAAAAUUGUGAAGUUAAUUAGUACCAAUUAAGGAUUUACAUACUUUUUAGAUAAUUGAAUAAAUCUCUUGUAAUUGGCCUAGGAAACAACAAAAAGGAGUUUUUUUUAUCCAUUUAAAACUCACAAGCUAUAAAAAAUAAAUUCUAAUUUAUUAUAAUAAUUUUUUCACCUAAUAAUUACUUCCAAAAGCCAAAAUCUACCCCCAAAAAAAAUUGCUUUAAACAGACAAUAUCUAAUUAAUCUAUAAACCUUCCUCUUACGUAGAUUAUAUUAAAUUUACUACAACUUUAGGGGAUUAGUCUGACCAAAAGGUUGGGAUACCCCUAAGUAAAACAAAAAACAAAAUCCAAGUCGCUAUCUUUGUCACCUCCCGCAAAGCCACUGUGCUGCCUAUUUUUCCUCCACUUCUUAACAGACUCCAUAUAUCUCAUCAUUCUUUUGCUUAAUUUGCUUAGCCCUCUCCUUCAGCUUCUGUGCCUGCCUGUACCUCUUUGGCUAUUUUCUUGUUCUAUCCCUUGCCUUUCUUCUCUCCUCACUCUCCUCAAUCUUUAUUUUCUCUGCCAACAGUCGGUGAGUGCAUCAGAUUCGACCAUUUCAGCAUAGUAAUAAGAUCGGAUGGCCUCAGGAAAAGGUAAGGUUUCCCCGUUGACUGAAGCUCCACCAAACGCCUGCCUCGUACCCUGCAAUGCCUGCAUAUAGAAAGCAAGUUCCCUGUCGUUUGUAGCAGUCAUUGAAGGUUCAGUCAACUUCAAAUCUUCAUCUUCUUCUUCUGACUCUGGUUCUAAAUCAACGACUUCAUUGUCUUGAUCCAUUUUUGUAGCCUAGUCUUAUUGGUCGUAACUAGACAGCCGUCCAUAGGUUGCUGGUGAAGCUGAGUGGAUAUGAUUGUAACUUUUGUAAGCAAACAGUGGCCAUAGGUGAAGCCAUGUUGUAACAUAAUAACAACUUAACAUUAGUUUCUGAACCAAUUAACAAAUUAUGUUCUUGGGCCAUUCUUUCUCUUUCGUAUUUUAGAAAGUUUGUGGAUGCGAAUAUCAAACAGUUCAACAAUGUAGCAGAUGAUUAAAUUCCAAGGGGGUAAAUCAAACAUAUGACUCUGAAUUUCAAACCCAAAAACUUUUGAACUAUUUAUAGGUUAAACAAAAGAUACACUCUUGACUUCAAUGAUAAGACCUGCUAAGUUGCCAUUCUGAACCUGAUCACCACAGAAAGGAGGAAGCUUUACUUGAGAGGGUAGUUUAUUGCAGAAAACCACCACACAAAUUGACAGAAGUGUUGU